rnacentral:tRNA from 1 species
AUUAUUAUAACAUAAAAAUGUAUUAAUUUUAGAAAUUAAUUAUAUAUAAUUAAUAUUAUAUUAAUAAUU